rnacentral:rRNA from 1 species
UACGUAGGGAGCAAGCGUUAUCCGGAUUUACUGGGUGUAAAGGGAGCGUAGACGGCUGUGCAAGUCUGAAGUGAAAGCCCGGGGCUCAACCCCGGCCCGCCGUUGAAACUGGGGAUCUUGAGUGGGCGAGAAGUAUGCGGAAUGCGUGGUGUAGCGGUGAAAUGCAUAGAUAUCACGCAGAACCCCGAUUGCGAAGGCAGCAUACCGGUGCACAACUGACGCUCAGGCACGAAAGCGUGGGGAUCGAACAGG